rnacentral:rRNA from 1 species
GCUUGACUGUAGCUUGUAAUUGGGUUCGGGCUUUUUUUGCGCAGCCUAGGUGGGAGGCAACUGAUGAUUUUUUUCCGGAAAAAUUUGAGCCAUUCGUGAGAGACCACUCUGAAAAGGCUAGAAUCCUAAUAAUGAUCCUUGAAUCAGGACAUUUGACAGUUGCAGGUGGGCAGUUUUACUGGGGCGGUAUUCUCCUAAAAAGUAACGGAGGGGUGCAAAGGUUCCCUCAAGCUGGACGGAAAUCAGCUUAAGAGUGUAAAGGCAAAAGGGAGCUUGACUGCAAGACCUACAAGUCGAGCAGGGGCGAAAGCCGGCCUUAGUGAUCCGACGGUACCACGUGGAAGGGCCGUCGCUCAACGGAUAAAAGUUA